GUUGGAAUUCACUUUGGAUGCUGGCUGUAAGGGUACUUAAAUGGGCAGCUUAGACUGCUUAAGGCACCAUAACAACUUCAUCUAAAUUAACCUAUGUUGCCUUAAAGGACCACUAUAGGCUUAAUGAAGUGGUCUGGGUGCCAGGUCCGGCUAGGAUUAACCCUGCAGCUGUAAACAUUGCAGUUUCAGAGACUCCAGCCUCUAGUGCAGGCGUAGGCAACCUUUGGCACUCCAGAUGUUUUG